UGGCAGUGGAGCAGCUUCUCGGACUACGUGC
rnacentral:piRNA from 1 species